rnacentral:lncRNA from 1 species
AAGUAAGCUUGGAAAAAUACAUCAAGUGCAUUCAAGAGAAAACCCUAGCAAGGCAAGCUUCAUCCAAGUGCUUCAUUCAAGAGUAAAAAGAAAGUGGUUGAGCAGAUUCUAAGAGUCAUUAAGAGCUCCUUCCACCCUUGAAGAGUGAAGCAUCCUUGACAAAGAAGAGAGAAGUCACAUCAAGCGAUAACUAUUCUCUAAACUCUUCUUUGUAGAUUAUAUUGUUAUAUUUGCUCAUCUAGGAGCUUAAAUCUUCUUACUUUGUUUAUUAAACUCCUUGUUGUAAGGUUUGUUGGUAAGCCCGUAAAACCAACAUUGAAGGUUUGUUGGUAAGCCCGUAAAACCAACAUUGUAGGUUGUUGGUAAGCCCGUAAAACCAACGUAGGUUGUUGGUCAACCCGCAAAACCAACAUAGGUUGUUGGUAAGCCCGUAAAACCAACGUAGGUUGUUGGUAAGCCCGUAAAACCAACGUAGGUUGUUGGUGAACCCGGAAAACCAAUUGUUUAGGUUCGUUGGUGAGCCCGUAAAACCAACAUAGGUUUUUGGUGAACCCGGAAAACCAAAGUGUAAAGGUUUUUGGAUUGUGAGCCCGGAAAACAAUCCAACUGUAAUCCGCGGGAUUAUAGUGAAUUCCCAAGGGGUCGCUUGGGGAGUGGACGUAGGUGCUAAGGAGAGCACCGAACCACUGUACUUCUUGUUGUUUGUAUUGUAAUUUGUUUAAUUCCACUAACUCAUCAUUUAACAUAAGUAAGAUAGUUAAAAUUGAGAGAAACCAAUUCACCCCCC